rnacentral:rRNA from 1 species
CCAAUAGCGUAUAUUAAAGUUGUUGCAGUUAAAAAGCUCGUAGUUGAAUUUCGGGAUCAAGGGAUCGGUCAUGCCUUGGUAUGUACUGGUCUUAUUGGUUCUCACCUUCUAAAGAACCAUGAUGUCAUUUAUUUGAUGUUAUGGGGAAUUAGGACUGUUACCUUGAAAAAAUUAGAGUGUUUAAAGCAAGCUUACGCUUGAAUACAUUAGCAUGGAAUAAUGAAAUAGGACAUCAGAUUCUAUUUUGUUGGUUUCUAGGAUCGAUGUAAUGAUUAAUAGGGAUAGUUGGGGGCAUUAGUAUUCAAUUGUCAGAGGUGAAAUUCUUGGAUUUAUUGAAGACUAACUACUGCGAAAGCAUUUGCCAAGGAUGUUUUCAUUAAUCAAGAACGAAAGUUAGGGGAUCGAAGACGAUCAGAUACCGUCGUAGUCUUAACCAUAAACUAUGCCGACUAGGGAUCGGAUGAUGUUAAUUUUUUAAUGACUCAUUCGGCGCCUUACG